rnacentral:rRNA from 1 species
CAGUAGCCACGGGAACACGUAGGGUGCAAGCGUUAAUCGGAAUUACUGGGCGUAAAGCGUGCGCAGGCGGUUUGUUAAGACAGAUGUGAAAUCCCCGGGCUUAACCUGGGAACUGCAUCUUAUACUGCGUAGCUGGAGUGCAGUAGAGGGUAGUGGAAUUUCCGGUGUAGCGGUGAAAUGCGUAGAUAUCGGAAGGAACACCAGUGGCGAAGGCGGCUACCUGGACUGACACUGACACUGAGGCGCGAAAGCGUGGGGAGCAAACAGGAUUAGAUACCCGUGUAGUCCCUGUCUCUUAUAC